UUAGGAUUUUAAGUGAGACAACCUUGCCUUAACAACUCGAGUCACGGCUGCCUUUCCUUCUUCCCUCUCUUCUCUUUCUUCCUCUUCUCCCUGUGAAGACUCACGGCUCACUCACGGCACACAGUAACUAGCUGCUCCUCCCCCACAACCGGCAGCACCACCGUCUCCCUCCACGAGCAUCACCCAGCCUUCCCCUCCCUCCUAGCGGCAGUAGCAGCUGCGUUUUGCCCCAACAACAGCAGCAAGCUGCUGUGACGCCAACCGCGACAGCCCACGCAGCCUUACUCCACCAAUUUCGUGCUCCACACUACAACCAUCACCUAUACCCUCACCCUUUACUAGUCUCCCAUUGUUUCCAGUUCAUAAGAGGAAAGAAGGAACUUAGUUGGGUUAUUUUUGUAACUUUUGGUCGUGCAGUGACGCUUGCAGCAGAGAGAUCAUAGAUAGACUUAAACAGGUUAUGGAGUCUCUGGUGCAUUGCAUAUGGGGGAUCAAGCGCAUAACUUAUGUUUAUGAUAAUGUUUUCAUGGGUUUUAACCCCAAAGUUUUAUGUUUUGCUGGGUUGUAUAUGUUUUGAGAGGCAUGCGACCUCUAUUUGUAAAAGUUAUUUCCGCUGCAUAAUUUUCUGGUUUGUAUGUUUUAGUUUCUUGGAAACUCAAGCGUUUACAUUGGAACCACGAUCCAUGCUUGACAUGAGAAGCUGGCGAUGAAACAUUCCACCGUGAUAUAGUUUUGAUAGGCCGUUGAUGCCUUUUUUUUUUAUUAGAUUCUAAUAACUUUUGUUUUUUUUACAAAGGCGCACAGUUUUAGGGCAGAUGUUGCCGAUAUUUUCACUGAUAUUUUAAAUGUUUAUUAUUAUUUAUUUAUUUUAUUUUAAUGUAACACCCGAAUUUCCUCCCGCCCUUUACAGUUUUGGUUUCGUACAAGGUGUCGGAAAUUCAGGGGUGUUACAGAUGAGGGAGACAAACAUAUAGAAUUAACUUUAAAAAAUUUAAACUUUAAUAUCAAAGUUUAGAUAAAAAAUAAAUUAGUUUUAAAAUUGAUUGAUAAUACUACUCGUAUAAGCAUUCUGCAUCUUCUAUUCAAAGAAGUUUAUCUCAGUGACAGGUAAGAACUUUAAAAUUAAGUGUGCUUAAAGUGAAUUAGUUUUAUGAUGCAUAACGGCGUAGCCUCAUGGAAAGUUUUAAUAGUCUUACGGUGUACAUGAGUGAAGGCAAAAUAACCAAAGAAAUUUCAAUUGGUUUGUAGGGCGAGUUUAUAGUUCAUGGGUUGUUGUGUUCGUAAGUGGGUUUAAUUAGAUAUCUGAAACUGAGAUCA